AUGCUUGUCUCAAAGAUUAAGCCAUGCACGUGUCAGUAUAAGCUUUUAUACGGUGAAACUGCGAAUGGCUCAUUAAAUCAGUUAUAGUUUAUUUGAUGGUUCCUUUACUUGGAUAACCCGAGUAAUUCUCUGGCUAACAAAUGCAGAAGACCCUUUAUUGGGUUGUAUUUAUUAGAUCUUUACUGACUCUGUUGGUGAGUCAUAAUAAGAUAACAGAUCGCAUCGAGGUAACUCGGCGACGGAUCAUUCAAGUUUCUGCCCUAUCAACUUUCGAUGGUACGGUAUUGGCCUACCAUGGUGACAACGGGUAACGGGGAAUA
rnacentral:rRNA from 1 species